GGUCGGGUGACAUAUUGUUAUUGAACGAUUCUUUUUUUUAUUUUUAUUAUUAUUCCACACAUUUUUGUCCAUACUAUUUCUUGGAAUCGUAUGGACCAAUUGUAAUGGAACUAUACCAGAAUGUUAAUGACCAUUGUCAGAAGUGCAGUCGAGGUUGGCACUUCCAGGAUGUCUACUGUUACCAUGGAAACAGAAAAAGAGUGAAAAAAUGAAGUUUUAGUUUUUGGUAAAUAAUUUAACUAUAACAAAACAUUUACUCAUCAUAUUUUUAUACACUGUAGCUGUCCUCUAUAUACAUGCUGUGGAUGAUUUUGAGAUUCAUUGGAACUACCAUGUUGCCAUAGGAACUGAUCAAAAAUAUCAAAAAUUUGAAAAUUCUUUAAAAAUAUAUAAAACUUUUACACAAAUGUUGCCUGGCAAAUCUAGAUGUUGCAUUCAACUUUGGAAUUUCCAAAAUGGCUGCAGUUACCAUGGAAACAAGGCAAAAACAUCAAAAUGAGAAAAUGUGAUGGAACAUUCCAGAACAUUAAUGUUGUACAGCUAUUAAAUGUUAUAUGAUUGUAAAAUAUUAUGGGGAAUACAAUAUGAAGCAGAAGUAUGACUUUGGAAUUUUCAAAAUGGCCGCCGUUGCCAUAGAAACAGUAAAAACAUCAAAAUUUUACAAAUGCUUUAAACUUUCUAAAAAUUUGCAAACUGAUGCAUUGUAAAGUAAAUUAGUUAAUUUAAUGUUAACAUUUCGAAAUGGCUGCCGCUUAGUGGCAAUU
rnacentral:lncRNA from 1 species